rnacentral:lncRNA from 1 species
AAAGUUGAAAACGUUAAAACAAAACGUGGUUGUGGUGGAGACCAGUCAAAAUGAGAGGUCAUGGCAUGCAAUCAGGACCCGUGAAGAGAGGGUGCCUGCUUGCCUGCUACUACUCUACCACACUAUACUAAAAUUAAGUGUGUCUUUCACUUCAUCAUGUAUUCACGUCGUCUCUUCUCUAUCUCUCUGUGCCUCUCUGAUUUGACACCCUGGAAUGAAAUGGACUAUAUUAUCCUCUGCUUCAUGUCAUAUUUUCUAUCACCAUUCACCAACCUACCCUUUUCCAGCGUUUAUAUUUUUGAAUUCUGCCACAGAAAAAAUGGUACCAAUUUAUGGCUUUUGCAUGGGACCAAACUGCCCUAUUUGGCUUCAUAAGUGUUUACGUCUUUCCUAAAUUAGAGGGGAGUACUAUAAUUCAGUGAAAUGGAGUUUUGUGAUUUGCAAUAAAGGCGUUCUUUUUAGGUGGAAAUGAUGUUGAAAAAUUAAAGUUCUCACUUUUAUACAAUGCUUGUGUAGUUGCGUGGCUGCUGUUGUAUCUCCAGCCCACUCAACUCGUGAAGACACCAAAAAAAAAAAAAAAAAAAAGCGUAAUGGGUCUGAUGGUGUUGACGACGACCUCGAGGAAAUGGGUUUGAGGCGUGAGGAGGUAAAAGGGAGUUGGUUUGACGAUUAUAUCCCUUAUAAAUGGGCACGUGAUCUCACGUCACAAGAUUUAACAAUUUUUUUUGACGGAAAGUCGUAGUAUGGACUAUUUAAGAGCACUCAUAUUGAUGUUAG